AUACGGAGGGUGCAAGCGUUGUUCGAAAUUACUGGGCGUAAAGCGCACGCAGGUUGCAUGGUAAGUUCUAUGUGAAAGCCUUCGGCUCAACCGGAGACGGCCAUAGAAAACUGCCAAGCUAGAGUACGAGAGGGGAGAGCGGAAUUCCAAGUGUAGAGGUGAAAUUCGUAGAUAUUUGGAGGAACACCGGCGGCGAAAGCGGCUCUCUGGCUCGUUACUGACACUCAUGUGCGAAAGCGUGGGUAGCAAACAGGAUUAGAUACCCCUGUAGUCC
rnacentral:rRNA from 1 species